GUCACUACAGCAGAGAUACGUGGCUGCAUCUGUGCACAACAGAUAGUUAAGGGCAAAAUUUUGCCAUUUUUUCUGCUGCUUGGAAAUGACAGACGAGAUCUGAGAUUUAAGUAAAAAGUCAAAUGAAGUACAAACAAACAUGUUGUGCUUCUCUUGGCUAUGGUCAGAGUAACCAGUGUGCUAGCCAGUAAUGAUUUCCUCCCUACAAUGCUGUGGACUUCGUCCAACAAUACUGUACUUGGAGGAGCUCAAGUUAUGGCAUACUAAGCAACAUCAGGUAAGACAAUCGUUACGAUCGCAGGAGCUGGUGGAACUGUGAUUCUGACUCCUGCCAUUCUCACUACACUGGGGUUCACUUCAGCUGGAAUAGCAGCAGGCUCCAUCGCUGCCAAACUGAUGUCACUUGUUGCAAUCACUGGUUUAGGUGGAGUUGGAACAGGUCUCAUAGCAUUCUUGCAGUCAUGGGGUAAACUGAAUAAUUUGUAAUAUAGUUUCUCUCUCUCUCUCUUUCUCACUAGCUCCCUCUAAGUGCGUGUCAAACAAAACAAACAAUAGAAAUAUUUUAUUAUAUUUUCCUAAAUAGUACCUAAGAGUAAUAUUUUAGUCCACUUUGGCUGUUGAUGUUUAUCUAAAUGUCAAAGAUAUGAAACACUCUUUUUGCAUACGUCUGUAUAAAUAAAGGUUCAUGAGUAAAAUUGUGUAUGUAAAUCAGGGGGUGACAAUGCAGAAUAAAAGCUUUUCUCAUGUUUCAUAAGUAUAAUAAACAGCUAAUAGUGUCUAAUGUGAUUUCACUGUAGGUGCAGGAGGUCUGUCAUGGGCUGCCACUGCAUUGUUUGGAAGUGUUGGUGGAGCAGCGGGUUGGAUGAUCUCAGCUGUGUGUAACUUCAACGUGACUGUGAAAUAUGAAAAUUAACACACUGAAUAAACACAAACUGGCCUUCAAAUGUUUCCUGUUGUGUCAAAUUAGACUGACUCAAUAGCCUGAAUUAAAAUUUAUUUUUUUAUGUAUAAAGGACAGACACUCAGAUUAAAGCAUGAAUUGAGAACCGAGUUACAAAAAUGAUUGAUAAAGAUUGCUGAUGACUUUUACUCAUCAUUUUUUAAAUAAAAUAUCAUUGUAGAGGAUGAAGAUGUUUUACCUCACCCAAAGACUGAUAUGAUGCUUUUGUUCUCCUCACAAAUUUAAUCUGAAAAUAGAAACACAUGCAAAAAAGUAUAGUUGUUUUUAUUGUAAACAUAUUGUAAUGUAUCAUAACAAUAUCAAAUAUUUCAAUGGAGUCCAUAAAAGGUGCACUGUUCUGGAGCCAGAGUUCUCACUGGGUUGUAGGGCAUCAAAUACUUGUUUCACUCAAUGAGUGAAUUAUAUAAGUUUUAUAUAAUGGGGGGGUUUUUUCACCUUAAUUUUUUGUUGCUAUUUGUCUCCAUUAAAAUUAAACUACAAUAAAUAUUAAUUUAAGUAAGGAAACAUACACAUUCAGCAAGGGAUUGGGGAUGAUAAUGUUUCGGUUUAAAUGAGAGUCCAAUGUCUGUCUCAGAUCAAAUAAAUUGCUUAUCUGCAGUA